rnacentral:rRNA from 1 species
AUUGAACGCUAGCGGCAUGCCUUACACAUGCAAGUCGAACGGAGUGGCGAACGGGUGAGUUAUGUAUCGGAACGUGCCCAGUAGCGGGGGAUAACUACGCGAACGCGUAGCUAAUACCGCAUACUAUUGGACCGGCCGAUAUCGGAUUAGCUAGUUGGUUGGGUAACGGCUUACCAAGGCGACGAUCCGUUGCUGGUUUGAGAGGACGACCAGCCACACGGUGACUGGGACACGGCCCAGACUCCUGCGUGAGGCAGCAGUGGGGAAUUUUGGACGAUGGGGGAAACACUGUUGCAGACAACCCGCGUGUACGAUGAAGGCCUUCGGGUUGUAAAGCACUUUUGGCAGGAAAGCGGUACCUGCAGAAUAAGCACCGGCUAACUACGUGCCAGCCGCCGCGGUAAUAC